rnacentral:lncRNA from 1 species
CUUGCAUCCCCAGUUUUAUUGUCCAUUCCUGGAAAAUGCAAGCUGUGACUGACGUUUUUACAUCUUAAAUCCCUCUCCCAGAGCAAAGCAAAUUGCUUCAACCCCAAAAUACAGGCACAGGAACCCUAGAGAUGUGCGAAAUGCAGAAAUGAUAAUGCCUCACAAGCUGGUUGUACAGAUUGAAUAACAAUGUGAACAGAGCACCGAGUAUAAUCCCUGAAACAGCAAACCAGAGGU